rnacentral:lncRNA from 10 species
GUGCGGCAGUUGCAGGCGAGCAGGCGAGGAAUCGCCGUGGCGUCUUGGUGUUCUCCACGCUGGUUCGCAGAAUGUACCUGUGACAUCUCUUUGACUCUCCACUGUUGCCCUUGAAGAACAGAGAUGAGUUUUCUUCCUUUUUCAUAAGGAAGCCACUUUUAUAGCGAAAGAGAGCUGGAGAACUGGGAUAUCAUGAGGAGUUGUAGACAGUUAAACCUGAAUUCUAGCUUUUGGAACAAAAUAGUAAUGUAAUUGUAGCAGUUCUCACUUUUUUAUUUUUUAUUUUUUUGAGACGGAGUUUCACUCCUGUUGCUUAGGCUGGAGUGCGAUGGCGCAGUCUCGGCUCACUGCAACCUCCGCUUCCCGGGUUCAAGGGAGUCCCCUGCCUCUGCCCCCCAAAUAGCUGGGAUUACAGGCGUGCGCCACCAUGCUCGGCUAAUUUUUUGUAUUUUUAAUAGAGAUGGGGUUUCACUAUGUUGGUCAGGCUGGUCUCGAACUCCUGACCUCAGGUGAUCCGCCUGCCUUGGCCUCCCAAAGUGUUGGGAUUAUAGGCGUGAGCCAACGCGCCUGGCCAAUUCUCACUUUUGGACCAUCUACUAC